rnacentral:misc_RNA from 1 species
CUGCUCACUCCGCUUCGCACCAACGCUACCUCCGCGCUCUGCAUCUCCUCUCCACUCCUGCUAUUUAGCGCCGCCCUGCGCCUCCCACUCCCGAAUUCCCCUGCGCCUCUCACCUCCCUGCUCGAAUCCAGCGCUCACCCGCGCCGCGUCGAGACAUGUCGAAGAAAAUCGUGGUGAAGCUGGACCUGCACGACAACAAGGACAAGCAGAAGGCGCUGAAGGCCAUCUCCGUGCUCGUCGGCAUCGACGCCGUGUCGGUGGACAUGGCGGCGCACAAGAUGACGGUGAUCGGGACGGUGGACCCGGUGCAGGUGGUGAGCAAGCUGCGCAGCAAGUCGUGGGCGGCGCACAUCGACUCCGUCGGGCCGGCCAAGGAGCCCGAGAAGAAGGAGGAGAAGAAGGACGGCGGCGGCGAGAAGAAGGACGGCGGCGGUGGCGAGGGCAAGAAGGAGGAAGGGGACGGGAAGAAGGACGGCGGCGGCGGUGGCGACGGCAAGAAAGACGGCGAGGGCAAGAAGGAGGACGGCGACGGCAAGAAGCAGGACGGCGAGGGCAAGAAGGAGGAUGGCGAUGGCAAGAAGGACGACAAGAAGGACGGCGGCGGCGGCGGCGCAGAGGAGAAGAAGCCCGCCGCCGCGGUGCCCCCGAUUUUGCCGUUCCCGCCGCUGCACCAGCUGCCGCCGCAGUACAUGCACAUGAUCACCAACGACUACAUGAGCCAGUACCACCACCGCCCCCCGCCGCCGCCGCCCGUGGCGUACCACCCGUACGCGGCGCCGCCCCCGCCGCCCCCGCAGUACUACUACGUGCGCAACAUGAGCAUGGAGGAGAACCCAAACUCGUGCGCCAUCUGCUGAAGCAAUCGAUCCCGGCCGCUUUGUCUCUCGCGUCGCGCGCGCGAACGUGAGUACGUACGUGUCUCCCGGCCCGCCCCGUCCAUCAGUCCAUGUGUACAUCCGUCGUCGUGUUACGUUAUUAUUACGAUGAGAAGACAGACGAAUCAAACUAGCUACUCGUAGCUUUUAUUAUUUUGUGAGUCAAAAGUCCAAACCGUAUAGCUGCCAGUUC